GGGCCCGCACAAGCGGUGGAGCAUGUGGUUUAAUUCGAUGAUACGCGAGGAACCUUACCAGGACUUAAAUGUAAGUUGCAUGAUUCAGAAAUGAAUCUUUCUUCGGACUACUUACAAGGUGCUGCAUGGUUGUCGUCAGCUCGUGCCGUGAGGUGUCAGGUUAAGUCCUAUAACGAGCGCAACCCCUAUCGUUAGUUGCCAUCAAGUAAAGUUGGGAACUCUAGCGAAACUGCCGGUGCAAACCGAGAGGAAGGUGGGGAUGACGUCAAAUCAUCACGGCCCUUACGUUCUGGGCUACACACGUGCUACAAUGGUCGGUACAGAAAGCAGCCACUAUGCGAAUAGGAGCUAAUCUUUAAAACCGAUCUCAGUUCGGAUCGGAGUCUGCAACUCGACUCCGUGAAGUUGGAAUCGCUAGUAAUCGCAUAUC
rnacentral:rRNA from 1 species